ACCCCAUAAUUUUGAUACCAAUUAAAUUAUUAUACGUAAAUUUUUAAAGGAGGCCUAUAAUUAAAAUGGAUUAAAUUAAUUUGGGUCUAAGGUAUUAAAAAGAAGAUAAAUACUAUGAAAUAUGAAGCCCAAGUGAGGUGACAUAAGUACAUAUAUGGGCCUUGAAAACCCUAGUCUUUUACCCCUUAAGCUACACGUGCAUAUUCUUAUAAGGCUUCCUUUUUGCUUCAGCCGCAUCAGACUACUGAACUUUGCUUCUCUUCACUGUGGCUGUGAGUAGAGAUUACAGGUACGAUUUUUAUGAUUAUACUAAUAGAGAAAAGGCUCCUAGAAUUGUUAUUAUAUUUGAUUAAAAAUUGUAUUAUGGCCGUAUGUCAGGAAGUCUUUGAAUUGAACCAAUAGAGUUUGUGGUUAAUUUGCUUUCACACUAAGCCUCAAUUGUUGACCGAUUUAUAUGCAUUCACACUAGUUCAACUGUGUAAUAGAUUUUGGGUCUUUGGAGUGAUGAUUACAAUAUUAUAAUAGCAAUUGUUUAUAUAGCCGCAGUGGAAUAGUAGUUCUAAGUCCAACAUUGAGGCUGAAAAACUAUGAAUACUGAAUACAUUCUGACUAAUUGUCAUGCUAUUGCCAUGCUACAUCACGUAUUGCCAUGCUAUUCCCUACAAAGUAUGGUCCAAGCUUUGAUUGAUUAUAUAGCUUUUACUUUUGUUUAAUAUAUAUAUAUAUAUAUAUAAUAUUAAGGUCAGUAGAUGUCCAGCGGCAUCAAGAGGCAUUCUAGCACUAGAUUGAUGGAUUAAAGCAAUCUCACGUGGCCUUCAAUGUUAAGUUGAAUAUAUAUAGUUAUAUAUAUAAUGUUAGAGUCAAUGGACAUCCAGUGCAUUAAGAGGGAAUGCUAAGCAACAACUUAAGGCAAUAUGUGGCUUCCAAUAGUAAAUUGGAUGGUUACGUGAAUAAAUGGAGAAUUUUAGAUAUAUCAUUAUUGUCUAGGAUAAAACCGUUUAAGUGUGAAAAUAAGUUUUGAAGUGGGAAAUUGUGUAUUGAUGAACCUAUUUUUGGUGUUGCUAGGUUCUAAUUCUAUUGAAUUGUUGUGAUUCAAGGGAGGUUGAUUUCCUUUAUUUUUGCAACUAAGAGAUACAUUAGAUGGAUUACUGGAGUAGAGAUUCUUGGGAGACAGAAGUUACGAACUAUUUUUGUGGAACUGAGGAUUUUAUUAUUAUUUUAUGGCAUUAAACAUUGUAUUGGAGAAUUAUCUUUGAGGAUGUUUUGUAUUUAGUGAAUUAGAGCUCUGACUCUUGUGAUCA